ACCUGGAGGCGGAACUUCCGGCUCCGAGACGCCUUCCCAGGAUCCUCAGGGAAAGCCGGCCGCCUUCUAGGCGGACAGAAAUGAACUCAAAACUCAAAGAAGACAUUCUGGUGCAGGAGGAAUUUGUUUUGUGUGGUGGAGUUGAAACGCAGGUUCUAAAAUGUGGGCCAUGGACUGACUUCUUUAAUGAUCGAAGUGUCAGCAGACCCAAACUGCUUAUUUUUAUCAUUCCUGGUAACCCAGGUUUUCCUUCCUUUUACGUGCCAUUUGCGAAGGCUUUAUACUCCUUGACAAACCGACACUUUCCAGUUUGGAUUAUCAGUCAUGCUGGGCAUGUCUUGGCCCCCAAAGACAAGAAGGUUCUUACAGCAUCAGAGGAUCCAAAUGCUCAAGACAUCAAGGACAUCUAUGGACUGAAUGGUCAAAUAGAACACAAACUAACUUUCCUGAGAACUCAUGUGCCAAAGGACAUGAAGCUUGUGCUCAUCGGCCAUUCAGUCGGCAGCUAUUUUGCUCUUCAGAUGUUGAAGCGUGCCCCUGAGCUUCCUGUAAUUCGCUCCUUUCUGCUCUUUCCAACAAUUGAACGAAUGUCCGAGUCACCCAAUGGCAGAAUUGCCACUCCACUUUUGUGCUGGUUUCGAUAUGUUCUCUAUGCUACUACCUACUUGAUACUUAAACCAUUUCCUGAGAGAAUCAAGUCCUUGAUGCUCAGAAUGGGCCUUCAAAUGAUGAACCUGAAGAGUGAAUUUUCACUGAUGCAUAUUUUAGAACCAUUCUGCCUAGCUAAUGCUGCCUACCUGGGAGGCCAAGAAAUGAUGGAGGUGGUGAAGAGAGACAAUGAAACCAUACAGGAACAUUUGCCUAAGCUUACAUUUUACUAUGGAACUGUAGAUAGAUGGUGUCCAAAAGAGUUCUAUGAAGACAUCAAGAAGGAUUUUCCAGAAGGAGAUAUUCGACUCUGUGAGAAACAAAUACCUCAUGCCUUUAUCCUCCAUUCUUACCAGGAAAUGGCAGAAAUGGUCACUGACUGGCUCAAGGAUGAUCUGUCUAAAAUAUAAAUCCUGAUGCAGGAAAACAAGUACCUCCCACCAGUACAUGGAGGCAGUAGGUGUACUAUACUUGACAUAAAUUAUUGUGAUGUUUGAUAUGAGUAAAGGAAAAAUUGAGAACCUCUUAGCUUAAAAACUGUAAGCUCCCAGCUCCCCAUGUUACAAGCUGAAGUAAACACACUUGAUGAUUUAUUCCAUAAGUUUAAACAUUUUUUAAGACUCAGGGAACACAGUGAUCUAAACAAGGUCUCGUGUUUGCACAGAAUACCCAGUGGCACCAUAUGCUUUAUUUUGGUAGGCAGGAUCCUUGUAGAUAAAAGAAAAUCUAAACUUAAUUGAUUUUAACUGAGUUACAUUAUUGAAUAGGCUCUCCUAGGGUAAAUUAUGAAAUAUAUGUAGAAAAUGUGAAAGAGAUCAAUGAAUGUGAAGGAUAUGGUUAGAUAUGUGAAGUGUACGAGGUCAUGAUGAGGAUACACUCAUGUUUCAGAAGCAGGAAGUGAUGGGCAUUGGAUAUUGGCCAUGGACCUGGGUCUCCCUUAGGGCAGAAAAUGAAGAUCAGCCCAAACUAACUUUGCACAGGUCUUGGCUAAGAUCAUCAGUGGCAUUGCUGGUCUGCUUGCAUUAGACAGAGAACAAAGUUCACCAGACAUUACUCUGGUCAACUAGUCAGAUAAAGAGUUGUUGAAGGAUCCCAAUUAUGCCUCCUACUACAGCACAGCCAACAAGCUGGGUGCUAAGCCUUAGCCUGCUCGGUGUGAGCUCGCUGCAGGCUGCUCUUCUCCAGAGCCAGGAUGGGGAGGCACUGGGCUGUCCUGAAUCAGGCUUGUUUGCACCAACAUAUUCUUUCUAUGAUUCCUCUUUUUUUUUUUAACUUCAAUUAUGAUGAGGGUACAAAUGAUUAAGUUACAAUGUUUGUGUUUGUUAGGUAAGAUCUCUGUGGUAAUUGUGCCCCUCACCCAGGAGGUGUGCCACAUACCCUUUGGUUGUGCGCAUUGCAUGAGAGCACACCAGCUUUUAUGAUUCUGGCGAUAAAACUCUGUUGAAGACUUGGCUUACUCCAGCAGUGAGCCAAGUACUGUGCUAGCCAUUGAGGAUAGAGCUCUUUUAGCUACUUGAUGAUUCUUUCCUUCUUUUCUGAUGAAAAUUUUCUAAUAAAUAAUUUUUGAAAUGGCAUUUUAAAUUACUGAGAGCAUUACCAUAAAUCACUUCUCCGUUUUUGCAGUAACUUUAUUUUUAAAGAAAUUUUUAAAGUUUUUAUUUUUAAAGUUAAUUUUAGAAAGAUAAUAUUGUGCUAGUUAAGUUAGGUGAAUUUACCUUCUCUGGACACAUUGAGGCCUAGAGUGGAAAAUAUUGCUGCCUUCCCUAGAUGGACUCAAUCCUUAGACCUUAGGAACCAGUAAAGCCUACAGACUACAGCGACAGUUGAUGAUCGAUCGGAAACAUUCCGUUUUCUCCUAGAGGAAAUCCCUUAUGGCAUUAUCAUUCCUUAAUGACAAUGAGAUGUUGUUCCUGAAACCUAAAGCCCCUGAUGAAAGACUCAGCUCUGAUGUGCUGCCAGCCCAGCAUGAGCGUUGAAUGAGUUAUUGUCCUUUGGCAUGGCUUCUGCAUUGGAGCAAAUGACUUCUCAGAGGGAGCAGCUAAGCUCCAGACAAGGAGUGCUAUUAGCCUGAGAUACACAGGACAUGGGUACGGGGUGCACACCAGCCAUAUUGACAUCCAUGUGGGGAGAUCGUCUAGAAGUCUGAUGCUAGAGGCUGGGACUCGUGGCCCCGAGUGCCUUGCAGACAGGAGAUGCUCAGUAGCACCAAAUCAAAGCACAUCAGCAAGUACUGAAGAGAGAAGAAUCAGAUUUCAGAAGACUGGAGUUCAUUUUAUUUCAAUAGGAAUUAGAAGACUAAAAUCAAUAAACAGUGGAUGAAUUCAUUUUCCUGAAGCAGUUCUUUCUGCCUGUGUGUCUCAGUCAACCACAUGGAUGGUCUUUGUCAAAGAUUUAACUUCUUACCAAGUUAAGCAGAGCUGAGAGGAAAGCGUAGCGGGAACCUUGACCCAUGCCCAGGUUUGUUCCUGUUCUGCUCCAGGCCAUGGGGAAGAAUCUCCAGAGGCCUCCACCUUCCCUGGCUUGCAUGGACUGAUAGCAACGACCUCCAGGGCCCUCCCUCCAUCUGCUUCUCCACUCAACCUUGGAGAACCAGUCACCUCCAGAGCUUUGAUUGUUCUCCACCCUACACUAUGCUAAGGCAAAAGCCAUUCUAGAUUAAAGGAAGCUAAAGAGACAUGACAACUUAACCCAAAACCUGAUUCUGGAUUGGAGGUUUUUCUUAUAAAAGAUAUUGUCGGGAUAAUUUGCACAGUUUGAAUGUGCUCUGCAGAUGGUUUGGGAGUAAGACGCUAAUGCUAAUUUUCUGUUUUCUCUGGUUGAAUUGUGAAGAAAUGGGAGAAUGUCCCCAUUUGUACUGCAGACACACUGCACUAUCUGGGAGCGAUGGGAUAUCCUGUCAGUUUAUUCUCCAUUGGUUCAGAGGAAAAUGUUCUUCCUACUUGCAAAUUUUUUUGGAAGUUUUAGAUGUUUUGAAUUUAUAAAAUUAAUUAUUUUUUAAAAAUCAGUCCCUCUCCUGCUUCAGUUUUUCAUUGCU